UACGUAGGGUGCGAGCGUUGUCCGGAAUUAUUGGGCGUAAAGAGCUCGUAGGCGGUGUGUCACGUCGGCCGUGAAAACCUGCAGCUUAACUGUGGGCGUGCGGUCGAUACGGGCAUCACUGGAGUUCGGCAGGGGAGACUGGAAUUCCUGGUGUAGCGGUGAAAUGCGCAGAUAUCAGGAGGAACACCGGUGGCGAAGGCGGGUCUCUGGGCCGAAAACUGACGCUG
rnacentral:rRNA from 1 species